rnacentral:lncRNA from 1 species
GAAGUGGAAACGGCGACGGAAGGCGAGACAGGGCCGGGCUAUGGGCGUGAGGUUCUCCGGGAUGUCUGGGAUGUGUUCGGUUUGAUCAGCUGAACACUGCCUUUGAGAGGUUUACAGGACAUCCUUCAAUGUCCUGAGUGUGCUUGGGCAGAAGUCAUGCUUUCUGUGGCAGAAAGAUGAGCAAGGCCAGGGAUGGGCAGUGGUACAAGAUGAAUGAUGCCUCAAGACUUCUCUCUGCCAAAAUACAUAUUUACUUUUCUAUGCCAGGCUUCCUCCACCCCUGAUAUAUUGAGACUGUGAACAUAAUUUUGACCAACUUACAUGAAAAUUGCAACAACCAGGUUUUGUUGCUGGACCUGCUUGUGGAUGAUAACUAUAUAACCAUUCUGUUCUUAUUCUUUCUUGUUCCUUAUAAAUUUUCUUUAAUGUUAUUUAUAGGCUUUUAUAUUACUGAUAGGAAAGGUGAAUGCUAAUGUCUUUACAAACAAUUCCAUGGGUGUGGGUAUGGGUAUUAAUGUGUUUGAAAUGAGUCUUAAUGUCUCUACUAACUUUCAGCCACAGGUUUGUUACAGAACCCAGACUGUUUGACUCCUGAAAUGGCAGAUGGGCCUGCAAAAGUCUGAGUUUCUGAACUUGGGCCAAAAUUAUAUGUUGAAGGGGGGAAUAAGUGGUAGGUGGUUCGGGAAGGCUGUACGUUCCUAGUACCUCAGCCAAUGGGGAAAGGAAGAGCAACAUACCACUGGGAGUUUAGGAUAGAAGGAGGCUGCGCCCUCUGAAACUUUGAGAGACAAAACCCAGCAGGCAUGUGCCCCAGUGGACUCUCUCCCUUUAUUCACAUAAAGUUGCAGGACUCCUCUGUUUUCUUUAUGGACACUGGCUUUUCAUUGUGUGAUUUUCUGCCUGUUACUAUAGAUAAUAACCAAAACAACUACAUUUUAAAACUUGCUAAAAACCUUAUUCUAUCUUAAUAUUCUAAAGUUUGCAAGCAAAAGUUUGUUCUUGAACUUCCUGAGUAUUUUGUUGUUUCUCCCACGCACUGCCCAAAGUAAAUCAAAAAACCUUCCCCUAAACCCUCCAAGCACACCAGGGCAUGACACCACUCCAACCAGUCAUCCAUCCCUCAUCCUGGCUAUCUCUGCUGUCCAUCUCUCUAGCCAUCCAUCGCAAACAUUAUUUCAUCUGGCCAUUCAUUCAUCCAUCUGUCCAGAUAAUCCCAGCCAUCUGUCUCCCUGGCCUGGCCAUCUCUGCUGUCUGUCUAUCCAUAUGGCCUAUGGCUGGCCAGUCCUGCUGUCCGUCUUUUCAUCCAUCCAUCCAUCCAUCCAUCCAUCCAUCCAUCCAUCCAUCCAUCCAUCCAUCCAUCCAUGACCCUGAAGGGGACGAGCUGGACGAUGACUAUCUCUGCUGCAAGAGCAAGAGCAAAGUGACACCCUGCAGGGAAGAAGAGAGGGACAGGUGGGAAUCCCCACUUCCCCCAGACAUAGGAUGGGGAUGAAGAAGAUGAUGGAUACCAUUCUGGAGGAGCAGGACAACCCCUACAUGUGUGACAGGAGUUUGUGGGGAGAUGAACCCCCAGAACUGACCCCCACCAGCACAAGUACGAUGGCAUGACUGGGAGCUGAGGAGCUGGGAUAAAAGCGUGGAUGCGGACUCAGAACCCAGCUUGGCAGGGUUCCAGACCCCAUUUGGAGAUCCCAGGAGUGCUGGGAGGAGAUCACUGUCCUAUUGGAGGUCUUGGCCUCUUUUAGGGGGCGUCAUGUGUCAUAGAGGGGUUCCCUGCCCUCAUUUUGGGGGUCCCACGGGUGGUGGGGGGAUGCUUGCCCCUUGCUGCAUUUGAGGAUGCUAUGUGGGGAUAUUGGUGCAGAGUGUCCUGAAUGCCUGUGACGCCUCCACUCUGGAUUUUGGUUGGGGUCAGCGCUUCUGGGUGAGUCACCAGCAGCUGCUGCUGACAGCGGCUUUGGGGCAGUUCUUGGGUUGUUUUGUCCUUCCCCAAAAAUCUCCUUGCAGGGAUAUCCGACUGGUCUUGGGACUGCUUUGCGCAGCCAGCAAGCUCAGUGCUGGUGGUGAAGCUCAGGGAGAGUGGAGAUGGUGCUGGCCAUGCCAUGCCACCAGCACCGCACAAGAGUAGCCACAGGCAGUUUGUAAGCAGGCAAUGCCAAGUGCUGGGAGAGCCUCUGCAGCUCCAUUCAAGGCCAAGGAAUAGACCACUGAGGAACCACUGGGUCUGGCUGUGCUGAAUCUGACUUCCCACUCCAGUUUGGGAAAUAUCACAGGGUGAGUAGAAGCUCUAGACAAGCCUUGCCAGUUUAAAUUUAAGAAAUUACUCUGGCCCACAAGUUCUAAGGAUAGCACAUUAGGUCUAUUUAUGAGUUAUUUAUUAAACAGAUGGGGGAUAACAUGAAAGAUUUUAAUCAGAGUUACUUACUACUCAGUAUAAAAUUAAAGGAACUACUAAUAGAUCAUAAAGAACAGUGCACAAUAUCAAGGUACCUAUAUUAAACCUAGUAAAAGAAAUAGUACUGAUUAGGAGUCAAAUUUAACUUACUACCAAGAUGAUGAUAAUGUACACAGAGUUCUUUUACUCAGCCUCCAGAGGAGUAAUUGGAAAGCAGGCAUCCCUGUUAUGGGGAGAAACUACAGACAUUUCCAGAAAAAUGUGCAGAUUUUUGCUUUGUGAAAGUAGCUUUUAUAAUUUGUGAAGUGAGGUGUCUGUCAGCCAGAAAUCUAGUUUAUCUUGCCAAAUUUCACUUCAACAGUAAGGUGUUUAUUGGCAAUUGGGAGAUGCCAGACUAAUGUUAACCCCAUGGCAUCAAAAUAAUUCAUACAAGACAACUUGCCCUGUUUGAGUUAUCUGACCAGUUAACAAGCAACAGAUAAGUUUUGUGGAGUGUGAGAUGCCCUGCUACAGGAGAAAAAAACAGAAAACCCAAGUUUUCUGGAGUUCAUGUUGUUGAGCCUGGGGAUGAGGGUCCUCCAUGCUGCAAUGGUGAAAAGUGACAGGCCUUUGCCAAGAACUCUGCCGGCCCUGGGUGAGUGUCGCCCUGAUUCUUGAGUUUUCUUAAGCCUUCUGAAUUUACAUUCUAUUGGGAAACUUUCCCACACAGUUUCUGUAAAUAACGUAUUGUUUUGCAUUCCUCCAUGGGGGUGGAGAGACUUGAUGUACUAGUGCUUUGUCCAAUGUCUUCGGAGAGGUGGCCCGUUCACUCUCCAAUCCACUGUCACCUUUGGAGAGGUAUAAAAGUUGGAGUCAGAAAAUAAACGCUCUUUUUUUU